rnacentral:rRNA from 1 species
GUUUAAAAGAUGGUCUUGCUAUCACUAAGAGAUGGUCCCGCGGUGUAUUAGUUAGUUGGUGAGGUAAUGGCUCACCAAGACAAUGAUACAUAGCCGAGUUGAGAGACUGACCGGCCACAAUGGGACUGAGACACGGCUCAUACUCCUACGGAGGCAGCAGUAGGGAAUCUUCCACAAUGGACGAAAGUCUGAUGGAGCAACGCCGCGUGUGUGAUGAAGGGUUUCGGCUCGUAAAACACUGUUGUAAGAGAAGAAUGACAUUGAGAGUAACUGUUCAAUGUGUGACGGUAUCUUACCAGAAAGGAACGGCUAAAUACGUGC